rnacentral:rRNA from 1 species
UACGGAGGGUGCAAGCGUUAUCCGGAUUCACUGGGCUUAAAGGGUGCGUAGGUGGGUCCGUAAGUCCGUGGUGAAAUCUCCGAGCUUAACUUGGAAACUGCCAUGGAUACUAUAGGUCUUGAAUACUGUGGAGGUCAGCGGAAUAUGUCAUGUAGCGGUGAAAUGCUUAGAUAUGACAUAGAACACCAAUUGCGAAGGCAGCUGGCUACACAAAUAUUGACACUGAUGCACGAAAGCGUGGGGAUCAAACAGG